rnacentral:tRNA from 1 species
GGGCGCUUAGCUCAGCCUGGUUAGAGCGCUUCCCUUACAAGGAAGAGGUCGUUGGUUCGAAUCCAUCAGUGCCCA